CGCCCCGGACUUUAUACUGGGGGCGUGACCUCCAGCCUGGACGGGGCGUUGCCUUCAUGCCGGAGGGGGCGCGGCCUUCAAGCAGGAGGGGCGUGUCACUUCGUUGUGUAACACAGUCGUGUGUUUGGGUCGGCCUGCAGGCUCUGCCGUGACCCCUGGUCCUGGGAUACAGGGCGGCGAGCCGAGCGCCUAUCUCCAGCCCCCUGAUCUCCUGCUGAGCCCCCCUGAUCUCCUGCUGAGCCUGGAAGGUGUUCCUCCCCGCAGCCCGCUGCCCAGCGCCUCGCUGACCCAGGAGAGUCAGAGCAUCACCGGAGCGUUUCAGUCAAAUUUGGACUACGGACAGCAUGUGGAUCAGGUGGUAGAGCGGGUUGGUUGCUAGUUUGAUCCCAGCUCGAGGUGUCCCUGAGGGACAGCCCUCUCCCUAAAUGCUCCUGUUGAGCUGGCUGUCGGUGGGUGAAUGUUAGGCAAUAUUGUAAAAUGCUUUUUCAUUCAGGCCUGGAAUAUUGUUUUGGAAUUUUAUGACAUUACUAAUAUAUCUUGUGGAGCAUUCAAAUCCCUCCGUCCAUGUGUUGGCUAAUGGGGAGAGAGAGAGAGAGAGAGAGAGAGAGAGAGAGAGAGAGAGAGAGAGAGAGAGAGAGAGAGAGAGAGAGAGAGAGAGAGAGAGAGAGAGAGCGCAAGAGAGAGAGAGAGAGAGAGAGAGCGCAAGUGUUUUUUUAUUUUACUGUACUGAAAUUAAUGUUCCUCACACUUGCUUAAUAUUUUUAUAUAUAUUACAUUAUAAGGCUGUGUGUGUCAACUAUUCCAGUGACUACACAACUGAACACAGUUUCACACACAAAUAUCCUGAAAUUCCUUAGAAAUAAACAGGGACAUUAAUUCAGCCAGCAUGAUAAACUUGCUUCCUGGUUCAUAGAAAUUGAUUUGAAAUGAAUAGCCUACUAUUUAAAACGUGCAGUUACCUUGAAUUUGAUCAAAUUUGAUCAAUUCGAAAAUGUGGGUCAUGUUUGGGAUCAUUUUGAAUAAAAAGUGAAGGCUU